GGUGCUUCUCCUCCUCUCCUCCUCUCUCUCUCCUUUUCCCACCUCUCUCGCUCUUUCUCCCGACGCAGGUGGAGCGGCGGCGACUUCGGCACGCGGCGCUCGGCCGGUGGCCGCCCCAGCAAUGGAGCAGCGCGGCUAGGCUCCGCCGGUGGCCCCCCGCCACGGCUUCCCCCCUGCGUUGCCUCCUCUCGGUGAUCCACGGGCGCUCCACGAAACCCUAACUGCGUCUUCCUCGUCGGUGGCGGCAACAGCGGCGGCUCAGCUCGACUUCAUAAACACAGCUAGAUACCUCUCUAGAGAUUGGCCUGUGCUGAAAGGCCAGCCGCCAGUGUAGUCGAAGAUGUCAACUUGGGGGAUACCUUGCUAAAGUACUGAAGGUUUGCAAUAUUGGAUAUAUUUACGACUACUACAGAAAUAUAUGCAAAAAAAAGGAUUCUGCCUAGGUUAGUGGAGGACUUGGCGGACGGUAGCAUUGACUAAAAUUUGCCCAAUUUUGCCUAGUUGUAUAUCUCAUUGAAUGACAACCCAACCUACUGAGCUCUGUUCAAGCUGUCAAACUUGCAACAUCUUCUCCUAUCGACCAACGGCGAUGCCACCAUACUAAAAAUUAAUGACUUUGGGUUUGCCAAGUGAGAGCAGUUAUGGGCAGAUAGAAGGGUUUGUUUGCUGUUGGAAUUCUGUACAGUGUACAGAUCCUAUCUCCUACAGUGCAUCAAACAAAAAAAGGGUGACGAUGUAAAGGGUUAAUGAAGAUGGGAGAUGCAGAGGUGUCAGUCCGUGUGUAUGAUAAGGCGAACUUCCUUGGCCCAUUUUUUUUCAGAUAAUGGCUUGGUUAACUUUGAGAAGAAAGAUUCCUAUGUACAGCUUUCACUGUCCCUAAUCUCUUCAAAAUGUUACCAACUUAUGUAACAUACAUGGCUUCAAACAUAUAUGUACGUGGCUUCUGUUAUCACCAUGUAAACACAUCAGAGGCUAUGCGUGUGUAGACGCAUCCUGUACAUGUAUAUCUCUAGGAUCAUUAUCUUGUUAUGGACAACUUGCAGUAUUUACUGACUCACGCGCGCGGGUUGUACUAGUGUUACUUA